rnacentral:rRNA from 1 species
AGACGUCUACAUUAGAUACCCGGGUAGUCCAGGGUGUAAACGCUGCGGGCUUGGUGUGGGUCCUUUGAGGGCGCCCAGUGCCGGAGAGAAGUUGUUAAGCCUGCUGCUUGGGGAGUACGUCCGCAAGGAUGAAACUUAAAGGAAUUGGCGGGGGAGCACCGCAACGGGAGGAGCGUGCGGUUCAAUUGGAUUCAACGCCGGACAACUCACCAGGAGCGACGGUUACAUGAAGGCCAGGCUGAUGACCUUGCCUGAUUUUCCG